CUAACGUGAGUACGUGGCCGUACGGUGCUGCUGCUUCUGCUACAGCUUGUUUACAAACGUUGUUAAACCGAACAAAAGUUUCUUUAAUAGUAGAAGAAACAUUACAAAAUUGAGGCGGAGAUAGAAGAUCUCGAGGAUCCGCUUCACUUGUUUUCAGCUCUCUGGGAGAAACGACGUGGCGGGAGAAGGAUCGGACCAAGACUUGUUAUUUAACGGGACCCUCGUCGGGAAGGAAGUGUUACCUGCAGAUGGUCAACAGCUGUUGGUGAUUGAAGAGGGGGUUCCCUGGAAAUGGAGUCUGGACAAGCAGGAUCCAGAUCCUCUCUGCAUAGAAUAGGAACCAGAGGAACUGUGGCCGAAUCAGGAUGUGAUAAAAGUUGGAAUGACACCAGGGCACAUGGUUCAGGUCUAAACGAUGAUGUAGAGUUUAACACUGCCAACAACUCCCUCAGUUGCUCUGAAUGUAAUGAAGAGUUUCACGACCAACAAUCUCUCCAGAGACAUUUAAAAGAGAAGCCUUUGAGUUGUUUCAACCAUAAGAAAUGUUUUAAAGGGACACCAAAUGUAAAUUUGAAGAAAAGGGUCCGCACAGGGAAAAAAACUGUUGGGUGUGAUGUUUGUGGUAAAAUUUGUAGUCAUAAAGCAGCUCUAAAGAUACACAUGAGAGUCCACACAGGAGAGAAACCAUUCAGCUGUGAUGAAUGUGGACAUAGAUUUAGUCACAAGACACACUU